UAUCUAUGUAGCGUCUCGUGGUCAUUGGUCAUCACAUUUCAUUUUCAUAACAUAACCGAUAACCUAAAAAUUUAGUAAAAAAGUAAAAAUUUUGAUUGGAAAAAAAAUGCAUCGAUAAGGGGGUGUGGGAAAUGGAAAUUAGUGGCUUUUUUGCUGUACUGUCUGCUAGUUUUUGCUCUGAGCACUGGCUAGAUCUCUUGUUUAAACAAUUUUAAUCAGCUGAAAGUGGCCUACAAAAAAAAACCAAGAAGGAAAUGUAUAGCUAUGAAAGGCAAAAGAGAGAUAUAAAAAGUGUAUUGGCUAGUUGGAAGAAAGUCCACAUUGUCCAUGCAUAAUAAGUUAUUACAUUAUCAACAAAUAUCAAGAAGAUAGCAGGGUCACGAGCAUCAACUUCAUGAGUUCAAGAAUAUCGAGGAAAUCCAGCUCCUCGAUACUACUGGGCAAACUAGAAGAUUGAAGAGGACAAAUCCUUUUGAACUAGUUUGAGUGAUAGGUGAUAGUGAAAAACGGAGCAUAGUGCUUGUGUGCUGUGCCUGUGUAUGUUAGAAUAGUGCAUGAUCUUGUUAGAUUAGAUAAGAGACGCUAUGGGGUAAGCUCUUCAUUUUAAGAAACAGUAGUAAUUUAGGCUAAAUUAAAAUUGCUCAUUGGUCAGUUAUGACCAGAUUGUUUUUUUAUGUUUGGCAAAAAGGACUUAAGUCAGAAUUGCACAUUGAUAAUGUUUUGAUGAUUUCUGGACCAGAAAAAAACUGUUGUAGAUGUAAACUGUAUGUACAGUAGAAUCUACUACAGUACUGUAGAAAUCAUCAAAACAUUAUCGAUGUGCAAUUCUGACUUAAGCCCUUUUUCCCAAACAUCAGAGAAUUGUAAUGUACAAUAAUUCUCCUAUCUGCUUUUUCAUGAAUUUUGUAGGAGACGAAAAACCAUUUUUAGGAUCAUCUGCUUUCACAUGUUUUGUAGUAAAUAGAUAGUUGAAUUUACUACAAAACAUGUCAAAAAAUAUAUGAAAACAGGAGGUGACUAUAAAAAAAAGGUUUUAGUCUCUCUUACAAAACUCAUGAAAAAACAAAUCGGAGGUAUGUCACAUCAGUGACUAAGAAUGUCUAAAAAAUAUACUUUGAUGUCCCAAGAACCAAAUAUAACCUACAGUCCAUCUAAUUUACUUACUGUUGCACGUCAUUAUCUACGCCAGAGAUCUAAGUUGACAUAGUUGCCAAAGUAUAAAAAGAUCCUGAAUCCAUUUUAAAUCAAAUAUGUCACAUAAUUAUUGUAAACGUGGAUUAUACAACAAAACAAAUUAAUAUUCAAUGUAAAUAAGUAAAAACUUAAGAAAUAGAGAACAAGAAUUAAGUUAUAAUCUUUUAAGAUUUGCAGUGCAAGAGUUUUUGCACUGCAUUGUUAAUAAUUAAAAAACGGCUCCGAACUCUUGGCAAAAAGCCGGUAGGUUUCUUUGUAUAAGUAUGUUUACAAUAACAACUAAAAAAGUUGUCAGAUACCUCGAUUAUUCCAAGUCGUUAUAAAAUUAGGUGAAAUUUAUAUUUUUAUAGUAGAGGAUCUUUUUAUAGUAAAGUAAAUAAUAAAAACAGUAAAUAUAAUAAAUAAAACAGAUACUUAUAGUAAAGAAUAUAAACAAAUAUGAAGUGUCAUCACCGUAACUGUCAAAUAAAUGUUACCAAUUUAUUCUAAAAUGUCACCUUCGUUCGAUUACAGUUACAGUGUGAUCCGAACAAAUCUGCUUCAUAAAAACGCUUUAUAAUCCAUUUAUACAAAUUUAAUGAAACAUAUUAUUGUGUAUUUCUUUAGGUUAACAUUAAUAGAAAUCUUCAAAUAUUAUUUCUACGCGUAUAUAAUAAAAUAUGUCUAGUGGCUGUAAUUCCAGUGUACUCGGCAAAGUGAUUCUAAAAAAGAACACACCUACCGCCUAAAUAUUUCGUGUUGGUAUCAUGCAACCUCACAGGCUACGACGCGGAUGACGCGCAACAGUUAGUAAAUUAGACGAAGUAUGUAGAUAUAUACAGGGUGUAACAAAAAUACAGGUCAUAAAUUUAAUCACAUAUUCUGGGACCAAAAAUAGUUUGAUUGGACCUAACUUACCUUAGUACAAAUGUGCACACAAGAAAAGUUACAGCCCUUUGAAGUUAUAUAUAUAUAUAUAAUAGCACCAAGGGUCUUAGAGGCCCAUGGCUUGAAAAGUUUUUUUUUUUUCUUCAUUUUCACGUUUCUUUAUGUACUGAGAUCUUCUCUGGCUUGAUAUGUGAUUUUUCUCCAUUCCUUCCUGUUAUUCAUUUUUCUUUUCUGACCCUGUAGCACCAUUCUUUCCAAAUCUUUUUCGACCUCUUGCUUCCAUCUAUUUUUCGGCCUUCCUCUUCUCUUUCUUGAAGCUGUAGUGUAGUUUAGUACCAUUUUUGGAGUCCUCGUGUUUGGCAUCCUUUCAAUGUGACCUCGCCAUCUAAGUCUCUGUGCCUUUAUCAUUCAUUUGAAGUUACAAGAUGAAGUGAUUUUUUCCAAUAUAUCGAAAACUAUUAGAGAUUUUUUAUUGAAAAUGGACAUGUGGCAUUAUUAUGGCAGCA
rnacentral:lncRNA from 1 species